GAUGAAGAACGCAGCAAAAUGCGAUAAGUAAUGUGAAUUGCAGAAUUCAGUGAAUCAUCGAAUCUUUGAACGCACAUUGCGCCCGCUGGUAUUCCGGCGGGCAUGCCUGUUCGAGCGUCAUUUCAACCCUCAAGCCCCCCGGGUUUGGUGUUGGGGAUCGGCUCUGCCUCACGGCGGUGCCGCCCCCGAAAUACAUUGGCGGUCUCGCUGCAGCCUCCAUUGCGUAGUAGCUAACACCUCGCAACUGGAACGCGGCGCGGCCAUGUCGUAAAACCCCAACUUCUGAAUGUUGACCUCGGAUCAGGUAGGAAUACCCGCUGAACUUAAGCAUAUCAAUAAGCGGAGGA
rnacentral:misc_RNA from 1 species